rnacentral:rRNA from 1 species
UCGCCUGUUUAUCAAAAACAUAGCCCUAAGGAUUAAUUUAGGGUAAUGCCUGCCCAAUGAGAAAUUCAAUGGCCGCGGUACUUUGACCGUGCUAAGGUAGCAUAAUCAAUUGACUUUUAAAUGAAGUCUGGAAUGAAAGGAGGAACGGAAUUUAGCUGUCUCAAUUUUUUUAGUUUGAAGUUACUAACUAAGUGAAAAGGCUUAGAAAAGAUAAAAGACGAGAAGACCCUAAGAGUUUUUAGUAUAUUUUUGUUGGGGCGACAUAGGGUCAAUUUUUAAACACCCUUAAUAUAUAUGACGGAUUUUUCAUGGUAAGAUAAACUACCUUAGGGAUAACAGCAUAAUUUUUUUAAAGUUUGUGACCUCGAUGUUGGACUAGGAAGCCUUUAGGCUAGCUGCCUAAUAGGGGGAUUCUGUUCGAAUUUUUACUCCUACGUGAUCUGAGUUCAGACCGGA